GAGGGUAUAACUCAGUGGUAGAGUUCAUGCUUACCAUGCACAAAGUCCUAGGUUCAAUCCCCAGUACCUUUA
rnacentral:tRNA from 1 species